GCCAUACAGACCACUGACAGCCAACAGCAGCCAGCCAGCCAGCCCUCUUAUUUUGGUUUCUUUCCUCUGGGUGGUGCAAAGGCUUACGGGUGUAACCUCAGGGUGGGGCGCUGACUCAGCUGCCGGCAGUCUCCAGGAGUGUCUCGAUUCCUGCUUCAUCCUCUUUCCAUUUUGUUGGGCAAACUGCGGCUCAGAAAGACAAAGGCCUUCCCCGCAGCGGAAAACCUCCUAGGCCGUGCCCAAAGCUCCGCACGGUCGGGAGAACUGGGGACUGAGGGAGGCCAAGAGACCAGAACGGGUUAAGAUCAUAAAGCUGCGGAGCACCGCCAAGGCCUAGAGAGACCGGGCGCCUCGAACCCGGUUCCCCCUCCGCUCCCAGCUUCCGGGCGGGGCGCGACUUCCGGUUCCGGCGGCGGGCCACAAAGCUUGGCGCCGGGAAGCUGGUUUCCCGUUCCUGCAGCCGGCGGCGGGGUUUCGCGUCUCAUCGCCAGGCGCCCCGUCCCCCGGCCCUCGGAGGGGCACCUGCGCAGAGGUUUACUGCCUGCCAAUGCAGGGGACACGGGUUUGAUCCCUGGUCCAGGAAGAUCCCACAUGCCUCAGAGCAACUCAGCCCGUGCGCCACAACUACUGAGCCUGCAGCUACUGAGCCCGUGUACCUACAGCUGGUGCUCCGCAACAAGAGAAGCCACCACAAUGAGAGGCCCGCGCACCACGACGAAGAGCAGCCCCCACUCAUUGCAACCAGAGACAGCCUGUGUGCAGUAACGAAGACCCACCUCAGCCAAAAAUAAAAUAUUAAAAAAAAAAAAGCAAGGUAGAGGAUUCAGGUAUGGAGUCAAAUCUCCAAAGCAUAAGUGAGGUUUAGAGAGGUAAGUUACAGAACCAGAACCUCAAACCAGAACUGGCACAAUGCCCAGCGCUGUCUCCCAGCAACCCUGUGGUACCAACGCUUUCUCAUGGAAGUGAACUUACAAAUGCAAAUCCUCACCCCAAACCAACCCAGUAAGAGGAGAAGCUUGAGUUCAUCUCCAUUUCGUCUGGCUCUAGUCCCAGGCCCUUGCCAUGAGGUCACACUGCCUGGAUACUAAAGAGUAAACCAACUUUAAGUGUUUCAGGAGCCCUGUGGGGGUUUGGAGUACAGUCAUUCCCGCUCUCUGUCGCCGCUACCCACGAUGAUUCCUGGUCUUCUCCACCCAGUCGACUCGUUAUCACCAAUACCAGUCAUUGUCGUUUCUGAGUCAAUGUAGACCCCAAUUCUAAAGAACCCUAAACACUUUAAAUUCUGUGAGUGACAGGGCAAGAGGAGGACAAUGUAGAGGAGCUAGCGGGAAGCAUUUCUAAAAUGUCUCGUGUGUCUAAUUUUCCCUUUGUGAUUAUAUUGACUCCAGUUCCAUAAGAGAAUAAUUGCAUCUAGUUAUUGAAACAUGCUCCUGCCAGAUGGCUACUGGUGAAAACCAGUGUUCUGACCACAAGGUAAUAUGAGAUUCCUAGCAACUGGCUAGAGCCAUGGAAAAAUAUGUCAUCUGUUGGGCAGCUACUCCCUGAGCGGUGAGUGGGUGCCAGGCCCUGGCUGCUGGAAAGGAAGCCAACUCUGGGGGGUGUGGGGGCCACAAGGAGUGCACGAAAACGGUGGUGGCUGGAGAAUUCAAGUGUAACUGGCCUUCCUAGGAGCACCACGUGUGGUCAGUUUCCACAGGCAGCGCAGUACAAUGCCCUUGACAAUGAGUUGACUAUUUUGCUAAGCAUUUUCCACCCACCACCAUGCAUUUAUUGGCCAUUUUCCCUUGGCCCAAAAUGCCCCAUCUCUACGCCUCCCCUGAUCUUUGCCAGCCUACUUCUAUUCAUUCUUUGUGACGCAGAUAGCCAUGGUCACCUUCGUGAAGCUGCCUUUGAUUUCUGCCUUGAAUCAGCAUUUGAAUUCCUCUUGUGAGCUCCUAUAACACCUUCCCUUUAGUUCUAAGUCCCUGUUCAUUCAGCGAAUAUGCAUUGUGUACCCAAUGUGCCAUGCCCUGUUUUAAGUCUCACACUGGAAUGCGGUGCCUAGUUUGUGUCCCCAAGCAGAUUGUGAACCCCACGUAGAGGGAAUCUCUGCUCUUGGCCUCCAACACAGGACCUGCAUGUGACUGAUCUUCUAGGAAUAGCUUAAUUUUUGUAGGAGACACAUGGUUGCUGCCUGACUUAAGGGGCUUCCUUCUAGUGAACACAAAUAACUAGAAUUGAUGGGAAACAAGCAUUUCAUUGGGGGCGGGGGAGGGAGAUUAUUAAUUCCUGUUUAAAGCUGGAGAUGAUGAUGAAAAUAAGACCCCCCAAAAGAAGAAGGCUUCACUCAGGCUUCACUGGGGUAGCUGGCUUUCUUCUCUGUUCUGUACCUGACAUUACAGUGAGGUGAGGUUAACUGCCUUUGGCUGGCUCUGCUUGAAAGCUCCAGGGCCCCCUUGGUGCCUAGCAACAACCUGACUGCCCAGAAUAGUGAUUUUGAAGCUGGGUGUGUCUUCUGCGCAGGAAGCCACCAACACCACCAAAGCAGCCAGGGCCUCCCCUUCACUUCCUCUGAGCUAAAACUCCACCUUCAGUUGGGGCCAGUACUUAGUGUUUUGGAGCCCUGUCUUAGGAUCCAGCACAAAUGGGAUGUUUCUAGCAAGGGUAACUCCAGCACUUAUGAGGUGCGUGAUCUCAGACAAGUCAUGUCACCUCUCUGAGCUCCAGUUCCCACACCUGUCUUGCUUCUGUCUCAUUCCCAGCUAGGGUCACCCUAGCACAGCACCGAAAGCACAGAAAUAUUCAAUAAAUGUUAUUGUAUCUGAAUCUGCUUGGCUAAGGGAAGAGUCAGUGAGUGACUCCUUCUCAGCUGUCCCUUCUAUCUUGUUCUUUCCUUCUGAGCCCCUCUCUCAAACAGCUCUGUCUUCUCAUUUCUCCACAUAAAAUCCUGUUUUUAUCUUCCCACUCCUCCCCAUCUCUCUCCUUAUUGCUUACCUUAUCCACAGACAUUAAACCUCAUCAUUGAAAAAAUUCCACACUUCUUAAAAAAAACCCAGGUGUUUUAGUUUUUAGGCCAAUACUACUGAUGUAGUGACAUUUAAUUUUUAAGGUUUAAAUAUAGCACACAUCCUGUAAAGUGCACAAAUCUUCUGUAUAACUUGAUGAAUUUAUCCAAAGUGGGCAUACUCCUCUAACCACCUUCCAGAUGAAGAUACAGAAUUUAAACAGCUCCCUAGAAGUCUCCCUCAUGCCCUUUCCUGGUCAUCAACCCCCCAAAAAGUAACUCUGUUAUGACUUCUAUUGCUCUAGAGUGGUGUUGCCUGUUUCUGAACCGAGUGGAGUAAUACAGUAUAUAUGCUUUUGUGUCUGGCUUCUUAUGUUCAACAUUAUGUCUGUGCAAUUCAUCUGUCCCCUGAGCAUCCUGCUUUUCCAUGCCUGUGAACCUGACAUGCCUGUUCUUUCUACCAGGAAUCUUUCUGUUCUGUCAGCACGCCCCACCCUGGCCUGACCAGCCUGUGCAAGUCCUCUAGACUCAGAUUAAACCUCGUUCCUUUGGGAAAUCUUUCUUGAUCACCUCUGGGUUUGAAUCCACCUACCAGCUGUAUGACUUUGGCCACGUGUUACUAACCUCUCCAUUCCUCGUUUUUGUUGGAGAUCAGGGUUUCUAUAUUCCAGAGUUCUUGUGAAUUUCAAAUGAGAUAAUACAUAUUAAAUACUUAGCACAAUACCUGGAACUUAGGAAGUACUUAAUAAAUAUUACAUAUAACUAC